CCUACGGGUGGCUGCAGUGGGGAAUAUUGGACAAUGGGCGAAAGCCUGAUCCAGCCAUGCCGCGUGUGUGAAGAAGGCCUUCGGGUUGUAAAGCACUUUCAGUGGGGAAGAAAGCCUUGGGGCUAAUACCCUCGAGGAAGGACAUCACCCACAGAAGAAGCACCGGCUAACUCCGUGCCAGCAGCCGCGGUAAUACGGAGGGUGCGAGCGUUAAUCGGAAUUACUGGGCGUAAAGCGCGCGUAGGCGGUCUGAUAAGCCGGUUGUGAAAGCCCCGGGCUCAACCUGGGAACGGCAUCCGGAACUGUCAGGCUAGAGGGCAGGAGAGGAAGGGAGAAUUCCCGGUGUAGCGGUGAAAUGCGUAGAGAUCGGGAGGAAUACCAGUGGCGAAGGCGGCCUUCUGGACUGACACUGACGCUGAGGUGCGAAAGCGUGGGUAGCAAACAGGAUUAGAUACCCCGGUAGUC
rnacentral:rRNA from 1 species